rnacentral:lncRNA from 1 species
GGGAGUGGAAUGAAUUGAUGCUGGGUGGGAUGUGGCCUCCACACUUAACUCUUGUUUUCCUGAAUUACAUGUUUCUCUUCGGGCCUAGGGUUUCCUGCAUCUGGCUCAAUGACUUCCACACUAAGCAUUUCCCAGUUCAUGGAGAACGACACUCAUUGGAAUCCACUACGAGGCUUUUGGGUCCUCUGACAGGAAUCAUCGAAGAUUGCCUGAUGCCAGCACAAGGCAGCUCAUUGUCUCAGUGGCUCUUGAUGGUACUGCUGGACACCCUUUUCAGGAUUGCUAUCACCACAGACGGCCUUUGAGACACUGACUCAACAUCAUCUGCAACUGUGAGAAGCCAAUCAGAGGUGUGAGAACACAGCUCCACCUUGGUCUUGCCGUUGUCAUGGUUACUGCCUUUCCCUGAGAGCCUCUGUGAGGCCCAGGAUGAAGAGAGACAGUGUGGUAAAGAGAACAACCAUCUUUCACUGACGCCAGCCUCUGGGGUCUCAGGGUUUUCUGGGUGUGGCUCACCAUUUUCCAUACUAAACGUUUUCUGCUCCAUGAAGAACGACCUACGUGGGAAUCCAUUGUGUGAUUGUUUCCUUCAAAAUACUGUCAAGUUUUAAAGACUGGGCAGCUUUGAUAGUUUUAAAACUAUAAAUUCCAGCUAUAGCUGCUAACAAGGAAACUCUUGUUCUCCCACUUUUAUUGGAUGGCUGCAUGAUUCCUGUGGGAUGAGAAAGAGGCAACCAUGUCUGGCUUUUGCCUGGUAAUCCAGCCUCUGUUUCAUUUCAUCUGCACAACCUUCUCAUUGUGGAAGGGUUCUUUCAUCGGGCUGUUGGUGGAUGGGACUGCCUCUCAUCACAAUUAUUUAGCUGCCCUGAAAUACAUACUUUAGUAAACAAUUUAGCACUUGUAAUUUUUCAACUUUGUUUUCAGCGGAAGUUAAUGAUGUAUGGCAUUUCUAGUAGGUAAAUGAAUGUCUGAAUUGUUGUGAGUUACUUUAGUCACUUCUCAGCUAACAAUUUAAGUUAUCAAAGGUCUUUACUUGUGCAAUAUCAUAAAUGAUGGAUAUUAAAAAUUAAUAGAAUGGAUCUAACUAAAAGCUGCCAUCUAACGUGAUAUUUUUCAGGAAGAUGACAGCAGUAAUUAUGCCAAAAAAUAGUCAUUCUCUUAGUUUGACCCAUAAUAGCAAUUUCCAACCAAAGAUUCCACAGGCAGGGUCCAGAUCUGGGCAACAGUUAUUAACAUAAUGGUUAUUGUUGAGAAUAAAUUUUGAUACGUCUAGCUGUGCUUGAAUGUCAGUGCUUUGAAGGGACAGGUUUGGCGUAUUAAUAAGAAAGGGUGCAUUGGACUGAAUACUAAUAAAUGAAUUGUUUUUCUUAUCUUCUAUAACAUGAAAGUUCAAUUUGAGAUAUAGAAACACUGGAACAUUUCACAGCAUGGCCUGACAUUUCACUGCGUUUUUAUUUUUUAACGAUGUACAAAGUUCAUUAAAUACACAAAGGUAGGACUGCUACAGGAAGAAAGUGGUGGAGUCAGAGGUCACAAUCCAAAGCAAGGUGACAGUCUCUUGACGAAGACACCCUGAGUGCUGAAUUAAGGUGAGAAUCAACUUUCAGCUGUUAACAGGGGACAGGGAGAAUGAAGUUAUCAGCAGUUAACAUUAUUGGAUUAAUUGAAAUGAAUGUUGACAGAGAUUUUAUUGGCUUUACAUCAAAUGGAGUAUAGUACUUCAAAUUGCGUAUUUGAUGAGGGUAAACUCUUAUCAAUUUGCCACAUGUAAAAUUGAGAAUUAAUUAAGAGAUUACACAACCCAUACAUUAUGGGUAUCUCAUAUAAAUUUAAAUACACAUGUGCAAACUUGCAGUGUGCAAAUAUUUGUCUAUACCUAAAUAUAUCCAAAUCCAUUGAUGAACAGUUAGAAAUUUAGAAAUUAUUCUCCCAUUUUAUCAUUCCCUUUCCUAGAAUUUGGUCACAAAUAUAAUUUUUCCAUCUCUUUGAAUCCUACUCUCUGGAGGUAUGUAAUGUAUGGACACAGUAAAGCCUUGAGAUAUCACAGGGUUUGUAUCAGAGAAAAUAAUAACACUGGUGUUACAAAAGAUCCACUGUGAGGAGAAAGAUAUAUUUAACAUGAUUACAAAUACAGAAGUAUUAUUUCAUCAAAAGCUGAUAUCAGUGAAUACAAUUUGUUUUUAAUGUUUUAUUUAAAAUAUUUAAUAUCAGAAGAAUUUCUUGAGUAGAAUAAUGAUAUUGGUAAGAAAUAAUGAUUCAGAAUUUCCUUUAAUUUGUUGAUUAUUUAAAAUGUAAGUGAAAUACUAAAAAGUACUGUAUAAUGUAGUUUCAUGAAGCAUUCUCUAUGGUUUUAUA